ensembl:lncRNA
CUCCGGUCAUGUGACGCAGACGGUUCACUUCACAAGACCGGGGUCAACCACGGCUACCAGCAUGAUCGACGGUGCUUCAAUGCACAAUGAGGGAUGUCUGCAGCGACUGAGAAAGAGUCUCACCACAUCCUGACAUGAGGAAAAAGACUUUAUUGAAGACUACAAUGAGAAAAACUAUCAGACAGCAGACGGCUGCAUUCAAGUCUGUAGCUGCUGAAUUCAUGGAUGAAUCAUCUGGCACUAGGAGGAAGACCAUCAAACAUCCACGUCAGCUGAUGGAGGUCCAAGAGUCUCACCCAACAAACAACCUACUGAGUGAAGACCUCGAAUCUGAUUGGACGGCCUCCUAUUCAGCCACGUGUGAACAAAUGCCUCUAAGCUGAUUUGUUUUCUAAAAUAAAUCUAGUUUGUGUCCUAAUCAAUGCUUGUGUGUUUGCUUCUUUACACUGCUGUUAACAGUUUAGGCUGUUAGAUUGUUCCAGAUAAGACAAGUACAAGAUUCUUCAGAGCCGUUCUACCAUGAGCCUGACAGGAAGAACUCCAACAGCUACUGAAUGUUCCUGUGGUUCCCUCAAGGCUACAGGAGGAGUCCUACGAGGACGAGCCGGUCCACCUGAUGGAGGCCAGUCGCUGCGAUUCAAAGCCAACACAGACUACGUGGACUUCUACUGGACCACAUGGAGGCCUUCAAACUGGACCAACAAGUUCACAGACUCCCCGACUCGUGGGUCUGAGGACGCUGCCGAGCCUCGGUCCAGCCGGCCUCCUGUCUGUGGAUGUUUGAGUGCUGAGAGGUUUGUGGAUGUAUGUGAACGUUCUGUGUUGAAACAGCAGCUUUGGACUCAGUAACGCCGGGAAAAACCAAGAGCUCCUUUAUUUGUGACUUCCACUAAAAAACUGAAGAAAAUAAGUUUGACAGGGUUCUGACUGAUAACAGAUUAUUAAAUAAUGAAAGUAAUCGUUUAAAUAUUCCUUUAAACAAACCUUUUACGUCUACAUUUCCUUUACACUGACUUCUUGUUAUAUGUACAAGUAUUUUGGGUGGAAUAUACCAAGGGUUCUUCUGGGAAUAUACCAUUAAACCAACCUUUUAGGUAAAUGUUCCAAGAUGUUGGGUAGAAUAUACCAUCAGAUAAACCUUUUAGGUCUACAUUGCAAGAUUUUAGAGUAGAA